rnacentral:rRNA from 1 species
UGUAGGAUAGGUGGGAGGCUUUGAAGUGUGGACGCCAGUCUGCAUGGAGCCGACCUUGAAAUACCACCCUUUAAUGUUUGAUGUUCUAACGUGGACCCGUAAUCCGGGUUGCGGACAGUGUCUGGUGGGUAGUUUGACUGGGGCGGUCUCCUCCUAAAGAGUAACGGAGGAGCACGAAGGUUGGCUAAUCCUGGUCGGACA